rnacentral:lncRNA from 1 species
UGUGUUCCAGCCCUGCCACUCAUGGGUGGUGUAUACUUUUGCUUCUCUCGUCCUCACUUCCUCAUUUGUAAAGUGGACAUCAGAGCAGCCAUCCCCACAUUAGCACUUUCAGGUUUAAAUGAGAUAAGACAAGGACAACCCAUGUCACAGUGCGUGGAGGAGUGUGUCAGACAAUCCCAACUUCAGGACCUUGGAAGAAGAUGAUUCACAGACUUGACUUUUUCUUCCCAGGAAGCAAGCUCUGGGGCUGAUAUCCCUCUUGCCUCAUUGCUCUUGAUUUCCUCCUUCCCAGUAGAUUCUCUUUCCCUCCUUAGCUCAGGUGGUCUUUUCUUGUUGAAGAGCUGGUGUUCCUACCCCUGUGGACUCCUGCAGAGGACAGGAAGCCCCCAUCCCCCAACCAACCUUAUUCUCCCACCACAGCAGGAGAGUGUGGGGGGCACUGGAGGCCCCUCUCUGUGCAAGGAAGCAGCCCACUCACUCAGGUACUGACUCCUCCUCAUGUCUUCUGUGCCAGAGUUGUGCUCAUUGGCUGCCAAGAGUGUUCCAGAUGCCAUCAAGGUUCAGACUGCAUGUAAAGGUCUGGCUUUGGAUUCAAGGCUCUGCCACACAAAAGUCUAUGUAACCUCAGGCAAAUUUGCUCCCCUCUCUCUACUCAAUUUUCUAAUCUGUCAAUCUGGGACCAGUGCUCACACCCAGAGAUGAUAUUGAAAAU